GACGAACCGUGCAAACGUUAUUCGGAAUCACUGGGCUUAAAGGGCGCGUAGGCGGGCCGCCAGGUCCGGGGUGAAAGCCUCCAGCUCAACUGGAGAAGUGCCUUGGAUACCGGCGGCCUCGAGGGAGGCAGGGGCGUGCGGAACUUCGGGUGGAGCGGUGAAAUGCGUAGAUAUCCGAAGGAACACCGGUGGCGAAAGCGGCGCGCUGGACCGUCUACUGACGCUGAGGCGCGAAAGCCAGGGGAGCAAACGGGG
rnacentral:rRNA from 1 species